rnacentral:rRNA from 1 species
GACGAACGCUGGCGGCGUGCUUAACACAUGCAAGUCGAACGGAAAGGCCCUGCUUUUGUGGGGUGCUCGAGUGGCGAACGGGUGAGUAAAACGUGAGUAACCUGCCCUUGACUUUGGGAUAACUUCAGGAAACUGGGGCUAAUACCGGAUAGGAGCUCUUGCUGCAUGGUGGGGGAUGGAAAGAUUCGGCGGUUUGGGAUGGACUAGCGGCUUAUCAGCUUGUUGGUGGGGUAGUGGCUUACCAAGGCUUUGACGGGUAGGCCGCCUGAGAGGGUGACCGGCCACAUUGGGACUGAGGUACGGCCCAGACUCCUACGGUAGGCAGCAGUGCGGAAUAUUGCACGAUGGACGGAAGCCUGAUGCAGCAACGCCGCGUGCGGGAUGACGGCCUUCGGGUUGUAAACCGCUUUCGCCUGUGACGAAACGUGGGUGACGGUAAUGUGUAAAGAAGCACCGGCUAACUACGUG